GCGGGUGUAGUUCAGCGGUAGAACGUCAGCUUCCCAAGCUGAAUGUCGUCGGUUCGAUCCCGAUCACCCGCU
rnacentral:tRNA from 3 species